CACACGAUGCAAGAUUGUGGUAAAACGUGUCGCUUGUCACUCACUCGCCGAUGCUGACACCCGUCGCGCGCAUUGCUAGCCACCAGUUCAACCUUGCCAAAUGUCAUCCAACGCUUCUACUCCGACAGAACGCAUGUCAGGCAAGGAGCGAGAAAAUAAGCCCUUUUCUGAGACAUGUCGCGGGCCCACGAACGCUGCAACACACAGCAGCCAAUCUGUGGCUGGCUAGCAGUUAGCACGCUAUCUGGCUGACGUACGAAACAAACUGCUUCCAAAAAAAGUAAAUUAGCGUCUCGAAUGGAGGUUAAAUGCUGGAAAUAUGUUAAGUUAUUUGUUGUCUAAUAUGACUCGACGUGAACCUGUCUGCUAACAGAACGGGUGAUAAGUUGGUUUAGUUCGCUAAGCUAACAUGUUGUGACGUUGCUACGUCUGGCUAGCCAGCUUGAAAAGCGAUUUCAAAAGAAUCUUUUUUUUUUUUCUUUGUCGAUUUUUAUUGCGUUUUAUAUUGUUUGGAGAGGAAAACGUCGACGCUCAGCGCCAUGAGACGAAACAGUCUUGGAACGUGGCAGGCAGGCAGCCGAGCCGCGCCGAGCUACCGUCUGCUUUUCUAUCAACGGAGCCCAAUGUCGGAGCCACUCACCUGCUGCCGCGGCGAGGAACCACGCGAGGGCGAUUUUCACACCCGGAGCGGGCAAAGCAAGGCGAGGCUGCGGGAAGUCGCUGCGCGUCCAGCCGGCCACUGUGGAGCAGCGCGCGGCUGGGAGGUAAACAGAGGAGAGGCGUCUGUCUGCGGAGGUGGGCGGAUCGAUCCAAACGGCGGACAAACCGAUACCCAAUCCGGUUGAAUGCCGGACCGAUACCACCGAUGUUGACAUACUACAUCAAUUUAGCAGCCAGUUCGCUACAAUAACCCCUAAAACAAAAUCUUUGCAAUGCACAAGAAGGCUUAUUCUUUAAUUAAAAGGUUUUGAAAGCU